UAGUAACGGCGAGUGAAGCGGGAAAAGCUCAAAUUUGAAAUCUGGCGGUCUACGGCCGUCCGAGUUGUAGUCUAGAGAGGCGUCUUCCGCGUCGGACCAUGCACAAGUCCCUUGGAACAGGGCGUCAUAGAGGGUGAGAAUCCCGUCCGUGGCAUGGACUCCCGGUGCUCUGUGAUGCGCCUUCGAAGAGUCGAGUUGUUUGGGAAUGCAGCUCAAAAUGGGUGGUAAAUUCCAUCUAAAGCUAAAUACAGGCGAGAGACCGAUAGCGAACAAGUACCGUGAGGGAAAGAUGAAAAGCACUUUGGAAAGAGAGUUAAACAGUACGUGAAAUUGUUGAAAGGGAAACGCUUGGAGUCAGUCGCGUUUGCCGGGACUCAGCCUAGCUUCUGCUCGGUGCACUUCCCGGUACACGGGCCAGCAUCGAUUUCGACNGCCGGAAAAAGGCUUGGGGAAGGUGGCACCUCCGGGUGUGUUAUAGCCCCUCGUUGUAUACGGUGGUUGGGAUCGAGGACNGCAGCACGCCUUUUGGUCGGGGUUCNCCCACGCCACGUGCUUAGGAUGCUGGCGUAAUGGCUUUAAACGACCCGUCUUGAAACACGGACCAAGGAGUCUAACAUGCCUGCGAGUGUUUGGGUGUAAAACCCAGGCGCGUAAUGAAAGUGAAAGGUUGGGACUCUUCGCUGAGGCACCGACGCCCGAUCCUGACGUUCUCUGACGGAUUUGAGGUAGAGCAUGUAUGUUGGGACCCGAAAGAUGGUGAACUAUGCCUGAAUAGGGGCGAA
rnacentral:rRNA from 1 species